UUCAGCUUAUCUAUAAUAGUUUUAAAUUAAUUUACGUCACCGUCAUGGUAAUUAGUGUCAUCAUUGACUAAGUUGCUGUUAUUGUUUACAUGCAUCCAUGAAAAAGAUAGGUUAUUAUUUAUAUUCCACCACCUCUUCAACGUCACAUACGUUAGGUUGUCGAUGUUAAUUUCGAUAUUUCAUUUUAUUAUUAAAUUCUAAUUUAUUUCAGUUGGUUGUCCGUCAAAUUUCACUCUGGAGUAGGAUGGUAGUGUUACAAAAUGUGUCAAAUUUUGUGAUAAAGCUCAAAACUUCCUGAAUUCAAGAAAAACGUGUCAAAAGCAAGAAGUCAUUUGUUGAAAAUAGAGUCUGAAGCCGUAAAUAUACUUUAAGUAUAAGCUAUCCUACACCUGGUGUUACAAUUGGUUUGAUCCGGGCGAACUCGAGUCAUUUUAACUGGUUUGAUAGCACAGAGGUAGUCUAUAGGAAUUGGAAAGAAGGAGAACCCAACAGCAUCUCUGAAACGUUUGUUUUUAUAAGCUAUAAAUAUUACAAGUGGCAUAAGAAAUGAACAAUUCGUCUGUGAAAUUCAGCUUUAGCCAUUCACACGUCCAAGUUAUUAUUCCCGGACAUAUAUUGCGAGUGAUAUAGACACCGCCUUCGUUUGUUUGUCCGUCUGCCUUUUGUUUCAGUUUUUUGGACGAAGGGUUGAACCUUCUGGAGUUGUGCUUUUUGUUAUUUAGUCUUGAUGGGCAUUUAAGUGACGAAUGCAGACGCAGAUCACAAUUCUAUGGAAUAUAAUUACUGCUUAUUAUAGAGCGACGUUUAAUGGUCAUUUCUCCACAUUGAUUUAACGACAAAUCCUACUAGCACUAAUAUAAAAUACACGUAAUUUCAAAUAGCCUUUAAUGUAACUGCUUAUAGGUGAAACCCACAGAUUGCGUAAGUAGUUACAAUUGGUUACAUCCCAUGUUUGACAAAAAUCUUCUUGUGAAAUGACGCUUUAUCAAAUUUUGUUUGUAAUUUUGUGCAUUGUUGUCACUUUAUCGUCAAAAAAUAAUAUUUAUCAGCUGAGACUGUCAGGAAGAGUUGAUCCAGAUUUAGAUUUUUUUCCGGUAAAAUCACGCACUCAUUGUUCUAUGUUUUGUUCAACUGUGCAGUGUGCCUCAUUUUUAUACAAAAAUAACACCAAUGAAUGCGGCAUUGCAAAAACGUUUGCUGGGGAUAAAAGUCACUGGAUUAAUUCUACAGAUUGUACCUACUGGGAACCAUACGUUAAUUGUCCGUCCCAUUUUACCGUACUUUCUUGGGUCAACAUUACCAAGUGCAUCAAGUUCUACAAUUUGGCCUUAAACCUGACAAAUUCAAUUGAGACCUGUGGCCGUGAAAAAAGUCAUUUACUAAAAGUGGAUUCUGAAUAUGUAACUUUGAUGAUUAAUAAUUAUAUCGAUUCGCAUAUAAUUUCGGGAAUGGGUAUUCGAAUUGGCUUGUACAGAAUUGGUACAGAAUUCAAAUGGUUUGAUGACACUAACUUGAUUUAUACCAAUUGGAACCAUGGAGAACCAAAUACAAUGUGGGAAGAUACGGUGAUGAUAGGAAACAUCGAAGCGCACAACUACAAGUGGUAUGACGUAGGUUCUGCUCAAGCAAUGUCAUUUGUUUGCGAAACUUGAUGCCAAGCCGACUGCUUGAGUUCACACGUAGUACGUAGUGUAGGGGUUGUUGCAUUUGUUAAAAUAUACAAAUGAUGGGGUUAUUUUAGAUAAUUGACUUUUUGACUAUAGGCCAACAUAACCUCAACAAAAUGGAAACAUGGACUGGAUUUCGUCAGAACAACUAGUACGCUCAGCACCAGCAUUGAUGUCUGCACUUGCUCAACAUGAUGGUAAAAUAAUUCUGUUAACUUUGAGAUUAAGCAUGUCCCAAUGAACAAUCUCACCAAGAUUAUAUAAAUUCCGUUACGAAGAAUACUGUCUAAAUUUCGACAGGUCCUUUCCUUGAGUCCAAAUACAAAAUUUAGCCAUACACACUCUUUAAAAGUAAAAAAAAAAUAAGACAAGCAGAUAAAUUGGCAAAACGCGUUCGAAAUUUACACUGCAAAACAAAAAUUGGAUUAUCACUUAUAUUAUUCUAUUGAACAAUACCUAUGAUUAUCUAUGAUUAACGAUGGUCAUAGACAGCAGCUUAAACAAAUUUGAUAAAGGUUCUUAAUGUCGUUAUGAUCUCUAUACUAUGUUUACAUACUUGGAAUAAUCGGUUAAAAACUGUUGCCUCUAUUGCAUUCACGGAGUUUUCGGAAAAUAUGUGUUGACUCCGGUACAGAAGGUCGUGAAACACUGAUUAUCUGAUGCUUGACCUCGAUGCUUCACACCUAAUGAGGAGUGUGGGUGGGGUGGGGGUGCAUGGGGUCACGGAACACUGAAUAUCGAUAGGGUUUAUUCUCACAUGACUUCAAUGAUUCAAACCUGAUUUGAAACAAACCCAUGAAAAAAUGUAGCCCCCAUCGUGUGCACAAGGUUUUGCUUCACCCCUGAAAAAAUUUUAAAAAACCUACAUGUAUCGUAUUUGUCGCGUUCAGAGGUUUAGGGCAAUUGGCGGUAGCUCAAGAAUAUCGAUGAACACGAUGCUUAAUACCAAAUUUAAAAAAAAAAUCCAAUAAAAACAGUACAAUCUAUUGCGUUCACAAUGCCUAAAACUAGUUGGAAAGGUGAUUAUGUUGAUUUAAAUAAUGAUAAAACAUUACUUUCUAGUACAACACAACUCUAAAUAUAAGGGUAUGAGGUGCAGAGGAGAGGUCUAAAAUGUUUUUUGGGGACACAAGAGACGUGGGUCGAAUAUGGUCUUUUAAAAAAGGCGUUCUGCUAUAUUUGUCCCCCGCCUUUCGAAGAAAGCAGGGGACUAUUAAAAUGGGUUCGUCCGUCUGUCUGUCUGUCCGUCUGUCUGUCCGUCCGUCACACUUUUUGGGACACAAUAACUCUCUUCCUAAUUGAGCUAGAAUGUUCAAACUUGGUGUAUGUGUUGAUUAGGUCAAUGCCUUGAUGGAGUUCGAAGAUGAGCAUUUUCCGCUUAGGGUAAGCAGAGAUAAGCAAUUUGAUUGGUUGAUGCUUUGGGACACGAUAACUCUCUUCCUAAUUGGGCUAGAAUGUUCAAACUUGGUGUAUGUGUUGAUUAGGUCAAUGCCUUGAUGGAGUUCGAAGAUGAGCAUUUUCCGCUUAGGGUAAGCAGAGAUAAGCAAUUUGAUUGGUUGAUGCUUUGGGACACGAUAACUUUUAAUUGAGCUAGAAUGUUCAAACUUGGUGUAUGUGUUUAUUAGGUCAAUGCCUUGAUUAUUUUGAUUCUAUCUGAUAGAGAGUGAUGAAACUUAAUGUAUACUUAAUAAUCAGUUUGAUUGCUGGAUACUUUUGAAAAAGAUAAACAUGCAAUUAAUUAAUAUAUGUCAUCUAUUUAUUUCGGGAUUUCAGCGGGGGACAUCAGCCUCACUGUUGGCUUGUUUAAGUAUACGAUAAAUAAUGUCUUAUUGUCCGAUGAUAAAACUAUCAUUACUGGGUACAAAAGUUGAAAAAUUUAUGUUUUCUACGUCUUUCACAACCUUUCCUAGAAACUGAUUGCAUUAAAUCUUUUCUCAUCAAGGGAUUCACUUGAAUUACCGAAUUUCGUAAUUUCUUUUUGUAUUUAAAUGAUCCUGCAAAAAUUUGGUAUAACUAUCAGCUUUCCAUAAGGCAAAAUGUAAUUUCUUUAAAAAUAAAAAAAAUAAAAAAAAUCGAUGGGUUGCUUCCCAUUAACAUAUAGGCAUCGUGAAAACAAUUUCCAGAAACAUGUUACAAUUUCCAGUUAUCGCGCAUGUAAAACCUGCUAGUGUGGUUCAUUUUGGAAAAAAUCCACAGAUUAAAGAUAUAUUAUGGGAGAUUAGAUAAUAUAAAGGGAAUUUGCUUAAAAUUUCAGUUAAAUUGAUCCACCCUGAAACGAGAAUUUAGCGAUUGCAGGGCCGUAACUAGCU